rnacentral:rRNA from 1 species
GACGAACGCUGGCGGCGUGCUUAACACAUGCAAGUCGAACGAAGUGGCGAACGGGUGAGUAACGCGUAAUCAACCUGCCCUUCAGAGGGGGACAACAGUUGGAAACGACUGCUAAUACCGCAUACUGAAGGAGGGGAUUGCGUGUGAUUAGCUAGUUGGAGGGGUAACGGCCCACCAAGGCGAUGAUCAGUAGCCAGUAGUGGAGGAGGAACGGCCACAUUGGGACUGAGACACGGCCCAGACGCCUACGGGAGGCAGCAGUGGGGAAUCUGCCGCAAUGGACGAAAGUCUGACGGAGCAACGCCGCGUGAGUGAUGACGGCCUUCGGGUUGUAAAGCUCUGUUAAUCGGGACGCGGUACCGGAAUAGAAAGCCACGGCUAACUACGUGCCAGCAGCCGCGGUAAUAC